rnacentral:pre_miRNA from 1 species
ACUUAUGGAUGUACAAAGAAAAGGGUUCUUGAGAUGGAAUAUACUCUAUUGAACAUGCUGUGAA